AUGUGAUAGUUAGGGGUGAAAGGCUAUUCAAAUUUCGUUGAUAACUGGAUUAAGCUAAAAAAUAUUAAGUAUUUCCGACACAAGCUCAAAAAUCUAAGCUUUUGAGUUUAUUAAGAUAUAUGUUAGAGAAAUUAAAAUCAACUUUAUUAAUAUAAUAAUGUCUAAACUAAAUUAAUAAUUAAUUUACUUUUAUUUUUAAAUCUUUAAGUUUAUUUAUUUAAGUUAACUUUUAACUCAUAUUAAUAAUGUUUAAAUGAGUAUAGAACACAUAAAAAAAAUAGGAACUCGGCAAAAAUUUUCUUCAACUGUUUAUCAAAAACAUAGCUAGUAGGUUAUACUUCAUUAUUAGUUAGCUUCUGCCCGGUGAUGUAAAAUUUAACGGCCGCAGUACACUGACUGUGCAAAGGUAGCAUAAUCAAUUGGCUAUUAAUUGUAGUCGAGUAUGAAGGAGUCCAUGGGGAAAAGCUGUCUUUUUUUUUUAUUUCUAGAACUUGUUAAGCAAGUGCAAAAACUUGCGUUUCGUUAUAAUAGACGAGAAGACCCUAUAAAUUUUUACUAAUAUUAGAAGAUAUCUUGAUCGUUUUUGUUGGGGCAACAAUGUAACACAAUAAAGAAAUUUACAAUGAAAAUAUGAUUUAAUAAAACGAGUUUUACUAAGAACAACUAAAUUACUAUAGGGAUAACAGCAUAAUUUUAACAUUAAGA
rnacentral:rRNA from 1 species